AUACUAUGAUGGUUGCAUAGUUCAGCAGAUUAAAUCAUGAAGAAAUACUCAAUUUGUCUGAUGUAUCU
ensembl:snoRNA